GACGAACGCUGGCGGCGUGCCUAAUACAUGCAAGUUGAGCGCUGAAGGUUGGUACUUGUACCGACUGGAUGAGCAGCGAACGGGUGAGUAACGCGUGGGGAAUCUGCCUUUGAGCGGGGGACAACAUUUGGAAACGAAUGCUAAUACCGCAUAAAAACUUUAAACACAAGUUUUAAGUUUGAAAGAUGCAAUUGCAUCACUCAAAGAUGAUCCCGCGUUGUAUUAGCUAGUUGGUGAGGUAAAGGCUCACCAAGGCGAUGAUACAUAGCCGACCUGAGAGGGUGAGCGGCCACAUUGGGACUGAGACACGGCCCAAACUCCUACGGGAGGCAGCAGUAGGGAAUCUUCGGCAAGGGACGAAAGUCUGACCGAGCAACGCCGCGUGAGUGAAGAAGGUUUUCGGAUCGCAAAACUCUGUUGGUAGAGAAGAACGUUGGUGAGAGUGGAAAGCUCAUCAAGUGACGGUAACUACCCAGAAAGGGACGGCUAACUACGUG
rnacentral:rRNA from 1 species